CAGCUUCUCUCAUGAAUUGUUUGGCAGCGUCAUCCCAUAUUGCUGGAACUGUAAAAAACCCAUCGGAUAUCUUUUAUAUCUACGCCACUGCCGUACAUCCUCUCAGUACAAGACUGCAUCAUAUGAUCUUUCAGCAUCAUCUUAAACCUUCUGAAGUAGAACCAGUCAUGAUGUUCGUUGUCCAAGGCCAGGUCGCUGUAUCUGUCCUCAGCUUCGAACCCAAAAGAGUCGAACUGACCAUUUGGCCGGAAGAGAACACAAGAAGAAGUCUUCAGUGAGAUCGAUACUCUUGACCCUGUUGUCCAUGAACUUGCGCAUAUUUUAAGCAGAUCGUGUUCAAACUCGUGUGGAAAUGAAAAGGCGUAACCGGAAUAGGUUGUGCCAAAAUCGAUGGCUGCAACUAGUAGUGUUGAAUCUCUUGACAUGAUUUUAUACCUUUAAAAGAAACACUGAAUACAUUAUCCUCUGGGAAAAAUAAUUUCAUUACAAAGUGUUGACACCGAUCGUUCUUACGACGAGCAAGUGAAAAAUGAAAUAUUCACUUGUAAGAUCCCAUCAGUUUAAAAGCAUUCUUUCUCCGAACUGGUGAAAAAGAGAGGAAUAGCAUAUUAACAUACAUCAUAUACCCUGAUCCAUACCUACCCGUUUGAAGGAAAUAGUUGGAAAAUGGCAUUUAGUUUCUGUUUCUGAUAUGAAUAGUUAACUUCCCUGUACUAAUUCCAUGAAAUGAUUUGUUUUUUCAGAUUACAAUUUUCUUCCUUAUUUGCAAACCUAUUUCAUUGAUAAAAUUUAUUUCAUUGUUUUCAUGUAUGAACAAUAACAAAUUUGAUAUUUUAUUACUCUGUAUACUCAUUUAAAACUAGCGUACUUGGUCAAUUAUAAUCAUUCUUGUUUUAGUAGGCGAAAGAGCCUUUUUGGUACAUCUCCAUUAAGUACGAAUAAUAUAUACGUGUUUAUUAGAAAUAUUUGUGAACAAUUAAAACAGUCCCAUUGUAUAGAUAUGUGUUUGGAUCAAUCACAUAUGAAUAUAAGCAUGUUAUAACGCGAUAAAAAUAGUCACUGCCUAACUUAUAAACCUUGCUUACAACAAGAAAUAAUAGUAAACUAUUUGCAAUUUACUUCCUCUUUAUUUUCAACGAACUCUGUACGGUUUCGUAGAAGCCGCCCGGGCAUGCCCCACUUAUGAUCUUGUGAUUACAAUGGCAGACUUUUACACACAACACAUUCACGUUAAAAUGGCACAAAAGGAUAGCAGAGUACUUCAGCCCAAAUUUGAUGUGAUAACAUUUUCUGAUUGAAGUAAGGGAACGGAGAGUGUUGAUGUACAUGAAGAUGAUUAAUUGACACUACAUCUUUAUAAACCAAAAGGAAUGUUUCGUGUGAAGUCAACAAAGUACAGCUCUUAGACAUGGUUUGUUUCGGAGAUACCUCGACAUGCAGCAGUGAUUUAAAAGUACCAUUAUCUGACAUUUCAAAAUACUACUGUCUUACUUUUCUAUUACAUAUUAAUCCUCGACAAACUUUCAAACUUAGAAAUUUGUUAGGAAAAAAAUUCUUGUCCAUGCACAUAUGAUAAUAAACAAACAACGGACGAAACGGAGAACAAACGUUACAUUAAACUUGCGUACUAUCACGUGAAAUACUUUUGCAGUUCUAUUGUAGCAUUACGUUCAUAACAACUGGAUACAUCAUGACUUCUUUAUCAUAGAUAUCAGAAAUAGUGAAAUGGAAAUAUUCCGAAUAAAAUUUGCUGUUUGUGCUCUAGUGAAUGAUUCUUAUUCUUGUGAUGACAAAAAAAAGUUGGAUAUUACAUGUUAAUAUAUGGAUUUUAUUCUUGGAGGUAGGUUUAUUUUCAAAUACAUAAGAAGAACUGCUUUACUCUGUAUGUCCGCAAAAUUUUUUUGACCUACCGUUAUUUUUUGUUUUGUUUUGUUUUUACGUAGUUUACUUUAAUCUCGAAAAAAAUUCCAUUUACAAUUACAAAGGGUAACUAUAACUUGUAUCUGAAAUUUCUGUGUUGGUAGUUUAAUUAUUUAAGGCAAUCCAAAAAUUACUUUCCUGUUAUCUUUUGAUUUGAUACAUCUGUAAGUUACGUUAUAUUUACACUAAUAAGAACAGUUACUAAUAUUUCAAAUCCUGGACUUACAAAUGUAUAUAAUUAAAUAAAAAUAGAAUUAUUAGAAUGUUUCAAUAAAAUAUUUCAUUUAA